UACGUAGGGGGCUAGCGUUAUCCGGAAUUACUGGGCGUAAAGGGUGCGUAGGUGGUUUCUUAAGUCAGAGGUGAAAGGCUACGGCUCAACCGUAGUAAGCCUUUGAAACUGGGAAACUUGAGUGCAGGAGAGGAGGGUGGAAUUCCUAGUGUAGCGGUGAAAUGCGUAGAUAUUAGGAGGAACACCAGUUGCGAAGGCGGCUCUCUGGACUGUAACUGACACUGAGGCACGAAAGCGUGGGGAGCAAACAGGAUUAGAUACCCCGGUAGUCCCUGAGCGGGCUGG
rnacentral:rRNA from 1 species